UGGGGAAUAUUGCACAAUGGGGGAAACCCUGAUGCAGCGACGCCGCGUGAGCGAAGAAGGCUUUCGAGUCGUAAAGCUCUAUCCUAUGAGAAGAUAAUGACGGUAUCAUAGGAGGAAGCCCUGGCUAAAUACGUGCCAGCAGCCGCGGUAAUACGUAUGGGGCGAGCGUUGUCCGGAAUUAUUGGGCGUAAAGGGUACGUAGGUGGUUUUUUAAGUCAGGUGUCAAAGCGUGGAGCUUAACUCCAUUAAGCACUUGAAACUGAAAGACUUGAGUGAAGGAGAGGAAAGUGGAAUUCCUAGUGUAGCGGUGAAAUGCGUAGAUAUUAGGAGGAAUACCGGUGGCGAAGGCGACUUUCUGGACUUUUACUGACGCUCAGGUACGAAAGCGCGGGGAGCAAACAGG
rnacentral:rRNA from 1 species